CGCGUAGGCGGUGAGAUAUGUGUGGUGUGAAAGCCCUGGGCUUAACCUAGGAAGUGCAUCGCAAACUGUCUUGCUGGAGUAUAUGAGAGGGUGGCGGAAUUUCCGGUGUAGCGGUGAAAUGCGUAGAGAUCGGAAGGAACGUCGAUGGCGAAGGCAGCCACCUGGCAUAAUACUGACGCUGAGGCGCGAAAGCGUGGGGAGCGAACAGGAUUAGAUACCCUGGUAGUCCACGCUGUAAACGAUGAGUACUAAAUGUUGGUAGGGGAACCUAUCGGUAUUGAAGUUAACACGAUAAGUACUCCGCCUGGGAAGUACGGCCGCAAGGUUGAA
rnacentral:rRNA from 1 species